rnacentral:tRNA from 1 species
GCAUGUAGCUCAGUUGUAGAGUGCUUGCCUAGCAUGCAGGAGGCCCUGAGUUCAAUCCCCAGCACUGCA